CUUUUAAGUAAAUAUAUUAGGUGAAAGAGGAUCAGAUGACAAAAAAAGUUUGUAAAUUUGUGCAUUUUAAUGUGUUUAAAAGACUAAAGUCAUCCAAAGACAUAGAAAUACAUGGUUAAACAACCUACAGAGGAAUGAUUCAAAUAAAAAUCAAUGUGUUGAUGCUGAUCCUAUGUUCUUAAACAUGAAAUUAUUUUUGUAAAUCCAGUGGUUAAACGCUGCCACCUGACUAAUGACGGAUCUCUGUGUGAAUGUCCAGAAAACCUGAAGACUUUCUGAAUGUAUAUAAGCAGCCUGCUAUUUUAGAAAGGAAAAUUUAAAAGAUUAAAAAGAGGAAUUAGGAAAUUAAAUUCGGAAUAAUCUAUUGCUAUUUUGUAAAUAAUAUUUAAUCAUGUAAUCCAUAAAAAAGUAACUGUAGUCUGAUUAUGAGUUUUAUAAAAUUUUAUUUAAUCUAAUUACAAGUUCUUUAUUUACUAGAAUCUGUUUACGCAAUCCAGAUUACAUAUAGUCAGUUACUACUGAGCUCAGAACAGGGAUUAGUUUAAGUCAGGACUAUAGGUCCUAGUUUUGCUUUUAUAAAAAUGCUGCAUGUGUGCAUCUUGAGAUGAAACAAUGGCACUGACAUAUUGUAAGGAAUGUCAUUUCAAGUUAUUUUCAGUUAAGACAGCUCACACAUGCGUUUUAGUCUGGGACUAGCCUUAAACCUCGUCUGUGAAACCGGGUAUAUAAUAGACAUUAUUUACUUCACUACAACUGUUAAACCUUCAAAUGUCAAUGAUUUUUACCAUCUUUUGCAUCAUUUCUUUUUCUGAUAAUUGUCUUUCCAGUUUGUCUAGUUCCUCCAUGGUUGUGAGAGGAAAGACAUCAUCCUCGCUGUCCACCAGCAGCACUGGAGCACUGGAACGACUGUUAGCUGCAAGAGACUGGACCACUGAAGACAGAUGAUUGAUCUUCAGGUCCAGUUCGUUAAGUGCCUCCAGAAUUGUCCUCUCAACAGCUGCAACACAUUAGAUGGGUGUUCACCCCAAGCAUCCUCUUGCUCAUUUUCAUUGGACAAGCUCACAGGAACAGCUGGAGUUAAGAAAGGUGAAGUUGGUGAGUGUUCACCCCAAGCAUCUUGUGGCUCAUCUGCCUGGGAGAAGCUCAUGGGAACAUCUGAAGCUGAGAAUGAUGGAACUG
ensembl:lncRNA